UCGCCUGUUUAUCAAAAACAUGGCUCCUUGUAGGUAAUAAAAUAAGGAGUCGGACCUGCCCGGUGAAGUUUUUUAACGGCCGCGGUACUCUGACCGUGCAAAGGUAGCAUAAUCAUUUGCCUUAUAAUUGAAGGCUGGUAUGAAUGGUUUGACAAGAAUAUAGCUGUCUCUUUAUGAUUUGAUAGAAUUUUAUUUUUAGGUGAAAAAGCCUUAAUUUAAUUAAUAGACAAGAAGACCCUAUCGAGCUUAAGAGAAUUUAGUAGAUUAUGAAGGACUCUAUCGGUUGAAAGAGGGGUCUAUUAAAUAUUUUGGUUGGGGCGACUGAGGAACAUAGAAAGCUUCCUUUAAUUUUAUUUAAACAGACAGGUAUUGAUCCAAAAAUGUUGAUUGAAGGAAUUAGUUACCGUAGGGAUAACAGCAUUAUCUUUUUUGAGAGUUCUUAUCGAAAAAGGGGUUUGUGACCUCGAUGUUGGACCAGAAUGUCCUGAAGAUGCAGAAGUCUUCGAGGGUUGGUCUGUUCGACCAUUAAAAUUCUACGUGAUC
rnacentral:rRNA from 1 species